AAAAAACACCGAGACGACCCACGACCUACCUCCCAUCUCCACCUCCAGCGCCAGGGCGCCGCCACCCCCUGCCACGGCAUCGCGCGCCGCCGGCCCCGACUCCUCCAACGCUCGCUGCCGGCCCCGAUUCCUCUGCCGAGCGCCGCCAUCGCCUGCCCCGCCGCCUCUCGCACCCCUACACGAAGCGUCCCCCAGGCCCCCACCCCUACGGCUUUCAACCGCUGGUGACAGUCGACGCCGGCACUGCACCUUCCCCCAACUCCUCUAUCUCAUCCUCCUCUACUGCAGCCGCUCUCCAUUGUCCGGUCAACUCCCUCGAGUCCCACCCAUCCCUUACGCACAGGACUGCCUCCCGAUCCUUCCCUUUCUGUGUGUGUGUGUGUUCGACCCGGAUCCACCCCUUUUCUGUGUGCAACACAGAGGAGAGCUCGCUGUUGUGGUGGGCCUGGACGGUGGCAAGCUGGGAGCCGGCUAGGUCCUAUCCGACGAGGGCCGUCAUGGCCUCCACCUCUGCCCUGUUGCCGAUGGACUGCAUCGCGACCAUGACCACUACGUUGACAAGAAAGGGCAAAUCUUCCCAACAAAAAGCAUACCAGAGGCCUCUCUUUCAAUGUCUGAAGAUUGGUUAUCUCAUAACUGGCCGUCAGAGGGAGAAAUUUUCAGCUUCAUAAUCUCCAUGAGUUUCUUCUUCAAGUAUCAACUUCAGAUCCUUGACAAUGCCAUGAGAAUUUCAGGUUUUCUUCCAAAAGUGUUGUGAAGAAAACAGAACUGUCAAUAAACUGGAGAAGGUCGUGAGAGUACUGACCUGGCAAUGUUGCUUUUUGGCCCCUUUCAUUGCUUGCUCAUGGAUCAUAGAGUGCAUAGGUCAUACAUGCCUGCCAUUUUGUAGUUUCUGAAAAAUUGGUUGGAUGUCCCUUUAUUUCCAGUCAUGUUUUUUUCAUUGGUGUCAAAUUGUUAUUGGGUGGCAUAUUUGAUUGAAGGCCAAUUCAAUUUUA